ACGGAAGGCAGCAGUGGGGAAUAUUGCACAAUGGGGGAAACCCUGAUGCAGCGAUGCCGCGUGAAGGAUGAAGUUCUUCGGAAUGUAAACUUCUAUCAGCAAGGAAGAAAAUGACAGUACUUGACUAAGCAGCCCUGGCUAACUACGUGCCAGCAGCCGCGGUAAUACGUAGGUGGCAAGCGUUAUCCGGAUUUACUGGGUGUAAAGGGCGCGUAGGCGGGGAUGCAAGUCAGAUGUGAAAUCUAUGGGCUUAACUCAUAAACUGCAUUUGAAACUGUAUUUCUUGAGUGCUGGAGAGGUAGAUGGAAUUCCUUGUGUAGCGGUGAAAUGCGUAGAUAUAAGGAAGAACACCAGUGGCGAAGGCGAUCUACUGGACAGUAACUGACGCUGAGGCGCGAAAGCGUGGGGAGCAAACAGGAUUAGAUACCCUGGUA
rnacentral:rRNA from 1 species